rnacentral:tRNA from 1 species
GGGGGUGUGACUCAGUGGUAGAGGGCUUGCCCAGCAUGCGCCAAGUCCUGGGUUCAAUCCCCAGCACCACCG